GGAGGCUUUGAAUUCCAUCAAUUUAUAGAUCCACUCUGUUCUGCCUGGUGACUGUGGAGCCUCACAACCCCCACCGCAUAUGCACACCAAGAGACACAAACACACAUUGCAUGCAAGCUCACACACAAAAGAGCACACACACGCACUGGUCGUAGCAAGGCAGCACUGGAGCCAGUGUGUGAUUAAGAUAAGUCUAGUUUCCUUUUAUACAUUCCUUAUCCCCUCCUAUUCUCUGUAGGGCACAAGAUUGGCCCCGCAUCUCAGACGCCACAUUUGAGUGGGAUCGAUCUAUAAAUCAAAUCACCACAAUCAAUGGCCCCGAUCGCUGCAGUCUAGUCUGGCCUCAACGUUAUUACUGGCACCCCCCAGCCGCUGAGGGGUGGAGAAAAAGAAAAACAAGGCUGGGGAGGGAGAGGGGUUCAGGGCAGGCAGGGCCUCGGCUGGCUGGCUGGCUUCUGUCCAUAUACAGGAUGAGCCCUUAUCUGGCCUCCCUCCCUGGGCUGACCGACCGACUGACAGGAAGAUCAAAGCGCCGCCAGAAGAAUCAUCUAAAUAUUUCAGGUGAGGAGAGAGGGCUGCGUUUCACACCACCUGUGCGCUGAGAUACUCGUCCCUCCUCUCUCUCUCUCAGUGUUCCAGGGGCCCCUGGGGCCCGGCAUCAUGAACCAGGGCCACCUGUCUGAGAGAGAGGGGCUCCUUUAUUCUCUGCCACUAUCGCUCUCUCUUAUAAUUUUCCAGCAUUUGAACCAAAAAUAACUGUAUUUAAACAGAACUGUGAGAGGGAAAAUACAACCUGGGCUGACAACAAGCAGUGUAAAACUUAAGAGUGUUGCUGUCACAAAAGCUGCAAGACCCAGCAGAUACAUUAACAUCCCAUGAAUGGGAAUCUUAUGUGAGAUUUGCAAUAGGAAAACCAUUUAUAGAUUUGCAAUAGCAAAGUAGAUUGCUUUGGUGAACACAGUAACUUUCAUAAUGUAUGCCUAAAUAAACUGAACUUCCUGUAUUUUUUAAAAAUUGUAUUAUCAAGGCAAAUAACAUCUGGACAAAGAGCUGCCCAAUGCAACUUAAUCAUUAGUAUACUGUACAGUACUGAUCUCAGGAGGAAGGCAGAGAGUGGUUUUGUAAGAUGCUGCACAUCACCAGAACAGCCUUUUCUGAAC
rnacentral:lncRNA from 1 species